CAUCCUCCAAGGCUAAAUACUCCUGACUGACCGAUAGUGAACCAGUACCGUGAGGGAAAGGCGAAAAGAACCCCGGCGAGGGGAGUGAAAAAGAACCUGAAACCGUGUACGUACAAGCAGUGGGAGCACAGGUUUACCUGUGUGACUGCGUACCUUUUGUAUAAUGGGUCAGCGACUUAUAUUCUGUAGCAAGGUUAACCGAAUAGGGGAGCCGGAGGGAAACCGAGUCUUAAUUGGGCGUUAAGUUGCAGGGUAUAGACCCGAAACCCGGUGAUCUAGCCAUGGGCAGGUUGAAGGUUGGGUAACACUAACUGGAGGACCGAACCGACUAAUGUUGAAAAAUUAGCGGAUGACCUGUGGCUGGGGGUGAAAGGCCAAUCAAACCGGGAGAUAGCUGGUUCUCCCCGAAAGCUAUUUAGGUAGCGCCUCGUGAAUUCAUCUCCGGGGGUAGAGCACUGUUUCGGCUAGGGGGCCAUCCCGGCUUACCAACCCGAUGCAAACUGCGAAUACCGGAGAAUGUUAUCACGGGAGACACACGGCGGGUGCUAACGUCCGUCGUGAAGAGGGAAACAACCCAGACCGCCAGCUAAGGUCCCAAAGUCAUGGUUAAGUGGGAAACGAUGUGGGAAGGCCCAGACAGCCAGGAUGUUGGCUUAGAAGCAGCCAUCAUUUAAAGAAAGCGUAAUAGCUCACUGGUCGAGUCGGCCUGCGCGGAAGAUGUAACGGGGCUAAACCAUGCACCGAAGCUGCGGCAGCGACACUCAGGUGUUGUUGGGUAGGGGAGCGUUCUGUAAGCCUG
rnacentral:rRNA from 1 species